rnacentral:tRNA from 1 species
AUUAUUUUGGCAGAUUAGUGCGGUGGAUUUAGGAUCUUUUUAUGUAAAUAUAAUUUUAUUACAGAUAAUA